UACGAGGGGGGCAAGCGUUGUCCGGAAUUAUUGGGCGUAAAGAGCUCGUAGGCGGUUCGGCAAGUCGGAUGUGAAAUCUCCACGCUUAACGUGGAGGGGCCAUUCGAAACUGCUGUGACUCGAGUCCGGUAGGGGAGUGUGGAAUUCCCGGAGUAGUGGUGAAAUGCGUAGAGAUCGGGAGGAACACCGGUGGCGAAGGCGGCCAGCUGGCGCUGACCUGACGCUGAGGCGCGAAGGCGUGGGGAGCGAACGGG
rnacentral:rRNA from 1 species